rnacentral:rRNA from 1 species
AUUGAACGCUGGCGGCGUGCCUAACACAUGCAAGUCGAGCGGUAACAGGUGUAGCAAUACAUGCUGACGAGCGGCGAACGGGUGAGUAAUGCUUCGGAAUCUACCCAAUGGUGGGGAAUAACCAGCCGAAAGGUUGGCUAAUACCGCAUACGUCCUACGGGAGAAAGCAGGGGAUCGUAAGACCUUGCGCCAAUGGAUGAGCCGAAGUCGGAUUAGCUAGUUGGAGGGUAACGGCCUACCAAGGCGACGAUCCGUAGCUGGUCUGAGAGGACGACCAGCCACACUGGGACUGAGACACGGCCCAGACUCCUACGGGAGGCAGCAGUGGGGAAUAUUGGACAAUGGGGGAAACCCUGAUCCAGCGACGCCGCGUGUGUGAAGAAGGCCUGCGGGUUGUAAAGCACUUUUAGU